rnacentral:rRNA from 1 species
UCGAGGGGCAGCAUUUUAGUUUGCUUGCAAACUAAAGAUGGCGACCGGCGCACGGGUGAGUAACACGUAUCCAACCUACCGAUAACUCUGGAAUAGCCUUUCGAAAGAAAGAUUAAUACCGGAUAGUAUACGAAUAUCGCAUGAUAUUUUUAUUAAAGAAUUUUGGUUAUCGAUGGGGAUGCGUUCCAUUAGUUUAUUGGCGGGGUAACGGCCCACCAAGACUACGAUGGAUAGGGGUUCUGAGAGGAAGGUCCCCCACAUUGGAACUGAGACACGGUCCAAACUCCUACGGGAGGCAGCAGUGAGGAAUAUUGGUCAAUGGGCGCAGGCCUGAACCAGCCAAGUAGCGUGAAGGAUGACUGCCCUAUGGGUUGUAAACUUCUUUUAUAUGGGGAUAAAGUUUUCCACGUGUGGAAUUUUGUAUGUACCAUAUGAAUAAGGAUCGGCUAACUCCGUGCCAGCAGCCGCGGUAAUACGGAGGAUCCGAGCGUUAUCCGGAUUUAUUGGGUUUAAAGGGAGCGUAGGUGGAUUGUUAAGUCAGUUGUGAAAGUUUGCGGCUCAGCCGUAAAAUUGCAGUUGAAACUGGCAGUCUUGAGUACAGUAGAGGUGGGCGGAAUUCGUGGUGUAGCGGUGAAAUGCUUAGAUAUCACGAAGA